GAUGAAGAACGCAGCGAAAUGCGAUAAGUAGUGUGAAUUGCAGAAUUCAGUGAAUCAUCGAAUCUUUGAACGCACAUUGCGCCCCUUGGUAUUCCGAGGGGCAUGCCUGUUCGAGCGUCAUUAUCACCCCUCAAGCUUUGCUUGGUGUUGGGGCCUGCUGUAAUAGGCAGCCCUUAAAAUCAGUGGCGGUGCUUCAAGGCUCUAAGCGUAGUAAUUCUCCUCGCUAUAGUGUCUAGUGGUUGCCAGCCAGAACCCCCCAAUUUUCAUGAUUGACCUCGGAUCAGGUAGGGAUACCCGCUGAACUUAAGCAUAUCAAUAAGCGGAGGA
rnacentral:misc_RNA from 1 species